UUCCUGUAGUUGUUUUCUUCAUUUCUGCCAGUAGUAACGUCAUGUAGUUGAUUACAUGACUCCUGUGAUGUGAGUCAUGUGAUCUUUUCAUGCGGUUUCUUUUUGUUGCUCUGGAAGCCAUGGUUCGCCUACGCUGCGCUUGCCUAUACCAAGAUGGCGGUUCACUUCCGGAAGUGAUAAGAAAUAGUGUUUAAACGGAUUUAUAAUGGACUUAUACGAAAUCUUCAUGUGAUUAACAGUGUUCCAGUGACUGGAGGAGUAACGUACAUGUAGGCUACAUGUCUGUCUUAGCUAGCAGAUAUAAGCUACUACGCUAAUUUUGCUAGUUCGGCAAUAGGAGGCCUGGGGGAAGACUGUCUUUUUGUGAGUGGGCUUUACUACAGCAGGAGCUAAAUGGAAAGCUGAGUCUCUCACAGAAAAGCUCCUUCUUUAUUGUCGACGGAGGAAACUGAACACUUUUAUUCGUUUCUUUUUCUACAGGAACUGAACUGAAUCAUCCAUAAAAUAAAGUGCGCUUCGGCUAAAAAUG